rnacentral:lncRNA from 1 species
UUUGUGAUACUCCCCCUCGAAAUGUGACGACUUCUGGCCGAAGCGACAGAAGUGUCAGGAGAGUUUGUGAUACUCCCCCUCGAAAUGUGACGACUUCUGUCCGAAGUGACAAAAGUGUCGGGAGAGCUUGUGAUACUCCCCCUCGAAAUGUGACGACUUCUGGCUGAAGCGACAGAAGUGUCGGAGAGAGCUUGUGAUACUCCCUCCUUAAGAUGUGUUGUUGUUU